rnacentral:rRNA from 1 species
GACGAACGCUGGCGGCGUGCUUAACACAUGCAAGUCGAACGAAGAGCGAUGGAAGCUUGCUUCUAUCAAUCUUAGUGGCGAACGGGUGAGUAACGCGUAAUCAACCUGCCCUUCAGAGGGGGACAACAGUCGGAAACGACUGCUAAUACCGCAUACGAUCUGACCUCGGCAUCGAGGAUAGAUGAAAGGUGGCCUCUAUUUAUAAGCUAUCACUGAAGGAGGGGAUUGCGUCUGAUUAGCUAGUUGGAGGGGUAACGGCCAACCAAGGCGAGGAACAGUAGCCGGUCGGAGAGGAUGAACAGCCACAUUGGGACGGAGACACGGCCCAGACUCCUACGGGAGGCAGCAGUGGGGAAUCUUCCGCAAUGGACGCAGGUCUGACGGAGCAACGCCGCGUGAGUGAUGACGGCCGUCGGGUUGUAAAGCUCUGUUAGUCGGGAGGAAAGGCCUUCUUGCGAAUAGUUAGAAGGAUUGACGGUACCGGAAUAGAAAGCCACGGCUAACUACGUG